rnacentral:rRNA from 1 species
GACAGAGGAUGCAAGCGUUUAUCCGGAAUGAUUGGGGCGUAAAGCGUCUGUAGGUGGCUUUUUAAGUCCGGCCGUCAAAUCCCAGGGCUCAACCCUGGACAGGCGGUGGAAACUACCAAGCUGGAGUACGGUAAGGGCAGAGGGAAUUUCCGGUGGAGCGGUGAAAUGCGUAGAGAUCGGAAAGAACACCAACGGCGAAAGCACUCUGCUGGGCCGACACUGACACUGGAGAGACGAAAGCUAGGGGAGCAAUGGG